AUACGGGGGGUGCAAGCGUUAAUCGGAAUUACAGGGCGUAAAGCGCGCGUAGGCGGCUACUUAAGUCAGAUGUGAAAUCCCCGGGCUCAACCUGGGAACUGCAUCUGAUACUGGGUAGCUAGAGUUUUGGAGAGGGAAGUAGAAUUUCAGGUGUAGCGGUGAAAUGCAUAGAGAUCUGAAGGAAUACCAGUGGCGAAGGCGACUUCCUGGCCAAAAACUGACGCUGAGGUGCGAAAGCGUGGGUAGCAAACGGGAUUAGAUACCCCAGUAGUCC
rnacentral:rRNA from 1 species